rnacentral:misc_RNA from 1 species
AAAUAUUUAUGUUCAUAGAUAUAUUCUUGGUUUGGAAUUUUUAAAAAAACCAAAACAAAUUUCCUCAAACUCUCCAAAUCCUAUUAACGGAAUUUAAUUUUCUUUUUUUUUUUUUUGAAAUAUAUAUAUAAUUAGAAUGGAGGAAAAUUCCUGCCCGGUCCGUUCACAUUGGCAAAGAAGCCCACCAGUCCUUGCCUGUAUGGCAAGUACGAUUUUCUCUUAUCUCCUUCCUUCAAUGCCUUGUUCCUUAUAUAGAACAAUUCAUGUGCUGAUACUUUCCCUUUGGGCAUGCCUGCUUUUGCCAUAACUAUUUUGCCUUUUUCAACUUUCUCCUCUUUCUUCCCUGAAUUGAUGUUGUUGUUAUUAUCGUGAUGAUGAUUAUGAUCUGGAUUCAAAAAUAUGAACGAUUCCUUUCCGUCGCUGCUGCAUCUUCGAAGAUGCAACAAAUCUAGCAAACCCCACCGUUGCUUCGACGAUGAUCCGGUGGAAUUGCUCUUUUUGCAUCUUGACGGCGAACGGUUAGGCGAAGGCGAUGGUGACGACUUUUGCGGCGUCCAAACACAAUAAGUUUCAGGUAAAAUUCCGUCUAAUUCGUCCGCAUCAGUACCCGAAGACGAGGAUGGAGGAUCUCGAUCUUCAAUAAACAUAUUCUCCAAAGGUAAGCGAACUGUGGAUGACUUGUGAUCUUGGCUCUGGUCUUUUGACUCAUUUUCAUACUUCAACAGGAGAUCUCGAUCGAACAGCGGGAAAAUCGGAAAGGCGACCUUAUGAUCUUCGUCGGUUGCUGUACAAAAUUCGGGAUUUGCGCCGACCAAAACGAACUCGAAAUCAACGUCGUCCUCAUCGCUGCUACUGCUGCCGCUGCUAUGGUUGUCGUUUUGGUUCGUGAAAACAGUAACCAUAUUGUUCGCUUCCUCUUUCCCGACUUUAUCUGCGAUAUCAGCUAGUUGAUCAGAGGAGUAGCUAUUGAAACUGGGAGAAAACGACACCGUAGAACCUAGAUCUUGCAUUCGGAACAGCUCUUGAGUUUCCAUAUAGGUAGAAAGAAAGACAAAACGAUAAAAAAGAGAUUGCUCAGUUAGUUAG